rnacentral:rRNA from 1 species
GACGUAGGGCGCAAGCGUUGUCCGGAUUUAUUGGGCGUAAAGAGCUCGUAGGCGGCUUGUCACGUCGGGUGUGAAAGCCCGGGGCUUAACCCCGGGUCUGCAUUCGAUACGGGCAGGCUAGAGUGUGGUAGGGGAGACUGGAAUUCCUGGUGUAGCGGUGGAAUGCGCAGAUAUCAGGAGGAACACCGGUGGCGAAGGCGGCAUUCUGGACCAUAACUGACACUGAGAGACGAAAGCCAGGGGAGCAAACGGG